GCACUGGUCAAUCUAGUGGCGAACGGGUGAGUAACACGUGGGUAACCUGCCCAUCAGAGGGGGAUAACAUUCGGAAACGGAUGCUAAAACCGCAUAGGUCUUCGAACCGCAUGGUUUGAAGAGGAAAAGAGGCGCAAGCUUCUGCUGAUGGAUGGACCCGCGGUGCAUUAGCUAGUUGGUGAGGUAACGGCUCACCAAGGCCGUGAUGCAUAGCCGACCUGAGAGGGUGAUCGGCCACAUUGGGACUGAGACACGGCCCAAACUCCUACGGGAGGCAGCAGUAGGGAAUCUUCCGCAAUGGACGCAAGUCUGACGGAGCAACGCCGCGUGAGUGAAGAAGGUUUUCGGAUCGUAAAACUCUGUUGUUAGAGAAGAACAAGUGCUAGAGUAACUGUUAGCACCUUGACGGUAUCUAACCAGAAAGCCACGGCUAACUACGUGCCAGCAGCCGCGGUAAUACGUAGGUGGCAAGCGUUGUCCGGAUUUAUUGGGCGUAAAGCGAGCGCAGGCGGUUCCUUAAGUCUGAUGUGAAAGCCCCCGGCUCAACCGGGGAGGGUCAUUGGAAACUGGGGAACUUGAGUGCAGAAGAGGAGAGUGGAAUUCCAUGUGUAGCGGUGAAAUGCGUAGAUAUAUGGAGGAACACCAGUGGCGAAGGCGACCCUCUGGUCUGUAACUGACGCUGAGGCUCGAAAGCGUGGGUAGCAAACAGGAUUAGAUACCCUGGUAGUCCACGCCGUAAACGAUGAGUGCUAAGUGUUGGAGGGUUUC
rnacentral:rRNA from 1 species